rnacentral:lncRNA from 1 species
AUUCUACUGUUUAUUACACAUAUUACAUUCUUAAAUAAAAAUGCGUCACAUAACAUUUUUGCAUAGAUAUCUUACAAUAUACCAAUUUAAAAAAGAAUUAUGAAACAGACCAGUAACAAAAAUAAAUUUUUUCUUCAUUAAUAAUUUUGUAACAUUAACAUACCACCAUCAUAUAAUACAAAUAAUAGUUUUAAAUCUUAAGACUUUUGUACAGCAAAAAAACUUGACAAAGUAAUAUAUUUAUAUAUAUAUAUAAAAAGCUUAAAAAAAAUAAAAUGUCAAAAAAAGGCAUAACCGAGGGCUAUAAGACUGGGUACUUCUGUGAUAUAUUAUAAAUACCAGAGAAGGCCUGAGAGAAUGUGACAGGGAGGUGGGGGGAGGGGAGGCUCCAAAAACAUUAAACAUUUAGUUUGCCUUUGUGUUAGCAAGGAGAUCUUGGCCCUAACAGGUGUAUUUUUCCUCCCUGGGAUGAAGCAGAAGUGAGAUGGAAGAAAUCAAAUUGUCUGAGCUUGAGUGAGCAAAUGCAUGCUGGGAAGCAAAAAGGAAACAAAAAAGGCUAAUGAGCCCCCAAAUCUUUAGGACCUCGGUUUACAGAAAUUAUUCUGCCUCUGGUCCCAAGGGCUAGGAUUGAAAUGUCCCCUCUCCCCACCCACUGCCCCUCCCCUGUAUGUGGAACUAACUCCCAGUGGUGUGGUUUUUAUAUACUGGCAUUAUAAGCAUCCAUCCCCCCAAAAGAGAUUAGGCACUGGUGGCUACCCCUCUUAUACCUCAGUAGCCUGUUUUCCUUCUGCGAAGGUACAGUAGGUAUGUAUGCACACCCAUGCAGGUGUGUGCACACACACCACCCUCAUUAUUCUGACGUGGGGUCCUUUGUAUGGCAGUAGACAGAAGCUGGGGUCAAAGCAAUUACGAUUCCAAAACUCACAGUUGAAAAAAAUCGUAUAAACGGUCCCCAACCAAGAACACAUCAACCUUCCCUCAUGACCACAGAGAGGGAGCCCUAUUUGAAAAAGAGUAUCUUGUUUGGGAUAUUUGCUAAGUGACGACUUUGAUCUCACUCCUGUUGUGGAUACCUGUUUCCCGAGGACUUACUGGAAAAUGCAGAACACCUGAAGAAUACAGUACUAUAUUGAAAGAUGCUCAUAAGAAAGUUAAUUGCAGCUUAGCUAUCCCCUUUCUGGGAUCUGUUAGAGGAACCAAGAGAGGAGAUUUAAGUGUUAAAAACAAGAAACCCUGAAGCUCAGGCAUUAGUCAUGAGACACCACAUUUCAUAGGAGCAGAUUUUGCUUCCUUUGACAUAUUUCUGUUGUCCAUCUCAAGUGCUCCCAAAGAUCCUCAAAGAGAAACACAUGCCAUCAGGAAGGCAGCAAUGGACACUCAGGCUGGGCCCUCCGGUUGCAAAUUAAGCAUCACCAUGUUUCCCGAAAUGCAACCCAGACACUCAGAACCAGGUAUCCUCCUGCCCCAACUUCUGCCACUUCUAAAAUAAAAUUGAGGAAAAGUUUUCAUGAAUUUAUUUCAGCCAAGUCUUUCUUAAGUUCCACCUGGGCAAUAUUCUAGGUGCAAGAUUUCAGCCGGAUGUGAGGUCUUUUGUUUGUUUGUUUGUUUAAAGGGAGAGAAGGCAGACAGAUUUCUGGAGUCAAAUGGGUUGUUCAUGCUCCCUUCCUCUUUCCUUCUGAAGUAACACACGCAGAAGAGGAGAUAUAAGUAGUCCCCACAUUUACAUUAUGAACUGAUUCCCACAGAGGAAAUCACUCAGAACCGUGAAAAUUAAUCACACUGAGGUUUGCAUUGGCAAACCAUUUCUUUGGGCUUUCCCAUGGGAUGCAGGAGUGGAGGCUGCAGGCAGGACAGUUCUGAAUGCUUGAGUUAGCCAACCCUCCCCCUCCCCCAUUUGUUUUCCCUUGGAUGCAAAUAGACACAGAUCAUUUGGAAGCAUAUCCCAAAUUCAAGUCCCUAAAUACACUCUUCUCUAAUUUCAAAGAAGAUUUAAAAAUAAAAAAUAAAUUAAAAAAAAUUCCUAGGAAUCCAUCCUGCUCAUCAGACAUGAGGUUGGCUCUCUUUUUACCCUGUUAUCAUCAGGCGAUCAAAGAUGGAAAAGGGUAGAGGUGUGCAUGGGGAGGUGGCAGCAGGGAGAGUGGGGAGUGGUUGAAGGGCUUUGGGAAGGAAACUGGGACAGGGAAAUGGCCAGCAUGAAGGUCAUUGGGGGGGGGUCUCCAAUAUUUUUACAAAAAUGCAGCUUUAACUUGGAAUCCAAACAUCUCUUUCUUUCUGGACAAAGUACUCAUCCACAUAGGCAUGAGGUUGGGCCAGUAAGCUGACAGUGGGACAGGAGGCCAGGAGCAAAGAGCAGCAUUACAAUGUCGGUCCCCACAUCCCUGAAGGUCACGUGGAGGAGAAAGAGAAGUAACUUGAAGUAAAGAAAAUCACCAGUGGCUUAGAACCAUGUCUUCUACAUAGCCAUCUCUGGGCCCUGGAUAGAAUGCUCAAGAGGACAGCCUAUGCCACAUUUAUGCCAGGCUUGCCCUUUCAAAUCUGGGAUCCCCUUGGAAUGCUAGGAGGUAAUGUCUUAAAUUGUGAAAGGGAUUUCAUGUUUCAAAUAUCCAUGACACCAUUCUAGACACCCAGUCCUCUUGGGAGCAAAGGACACGUUGAGGUUAUUUCUUGAAAAACCUGCUCCCUCCAGAGGCAUCAAGCAACUGCCUCUGCAGUUGAGGAAGAAUGGAGGAGGACGUGUCAUAAACCUAUUUCUAAAAUGUCCAAGGGAUACCCACCCCAAGCUAAGGACUCGCAAUCUUCCACAGGUCUUCACUGGGGUUAGAGAAGAACAGAUUCAAAGCCAUGCGCUUAGCACCCACCAAAUUCUCAGGCCAAUUCCCACAGCCAACAAAGGACUCUGAAGCAAGCAAGCACCAUCAUGGUAUCUCAGUGCGCCCUGCUCCAAGAGAGAUCAGGAGCAGAUCACAAAGACCUCACUGAUACAAAAGAGAAAUUACCAAACAUUUCAGACACCAAAGAGGACCAAGGGGCCUUUGUUCUGCCACAUUCAAAUGAAACCACAGAUGGCGAGAGGGACAAACAGCAAUGAUUACUCUUUUGCAUUUCUUUCUUUUCUUUUUUUUUUUUUUCCUUUUUCUUUUUUUAUAGAGCCUUGCAUUGGUCAGUACAAAAAAAAAUUAAAUUAAGUACUAUAAAC